rnacentral:rRNA from 1 species
AGGAUGAACGCUGGCGGCGUGCCUAACACAUGCAAGUCGAGCGUCCUGUCUCGCAAGAGGCAGGGAGUGGCGGACGGGUGAGUACCACGUGGGUCAUCUACCGUGAGGUGAGGAAUACCGGCGAGAAAUCGCCGACAAGACCGCAUAGCCUCGGUGCAAGCCGAGGAAAGCUUUCUCGAGAGAGGGAGCGCCACACGAGGAGCCUGCGCCCGAUUAGCUAGCUGGUGGAGUAACGGUUCACCAGGGCGACGAUCGGUAGCUGGUCUGAGAGGACGAUCAGCCACACUGGGAUUGAGAACGGCCCAGACUCCUACGGGGGGCAGCAGUGAGGAAUUUUCGUCAAUGGGGGCAACCCUGAACGAGCAACGCCGCGUGCAGGAAGAAGGUUUCGGAUCGUAAACUGCUUUUCUCGGGAAGAGAACGGACGGUACCCGAGGAAUCAGCCCCGGCUAACUACGCGCCAGCAGCCGCGGU